rnacentral:piRNA from 1 species
UAGAAAGGGAAUGUGUUUCCUGAAUAAUACU